AGAUUGAACGCUGGCGGCAUGCUUUACACAUGCAAGUCGAACGGCAGCGCGGGGCAACCUGGCGGCGAGUGGCGAACGGGUGAGUAAUAUAUCGGAACGUACCCAAGAGUGGGGGAUAACGUAGCGAAAGUUACGCUAAUACCGCAUACGAUCUAAGGAUGAAAGCAGGGGACCGCAAGGCCUUGUGCUCCUGGAGCGGCCGAUAUCUGAUUAGCUAGUUGGAGGGUAAAGGCUACCAAGGCUACGAUCAGUAGCUGGUCUGAGAGGACGACCAGCCACACUGGAGCUGAGACACGGUCCAGACUCCUACGGAGCAGCAGUGGGAAUUUUGGACAAUGGGCGCGAAGCCUGAUCCAGCAAUGCGCGUGAGUGAAGAAGGCCUCGGUUAGUAAGCUCGUUUGUUCGAAGGUAAGAAAGGUCGGUAGACGUAAUAA
rnacentral:rRNA from 1 species